rnacentral:rRNA from 1 species
AUACGGAGGAUCCGAGCGUUAUCCGGAUUUAUUGGGUUUAAAGGGUGCGCAGGCGGGAGAUUAAGUCGGCGGUGAAAUUUUGCAGCUCAACUGUAAAAGGGCCUUCGAAACUGGUUUUCUUGAGUGUAGAUGAAGAUGGCGGAAUGUGGGGUGUAGCGGUGAAAUGCUUAGAGAUCACACAGAAUAUCGAUUGCGAAGGCAGCUCACAAAGCCAAGAUUGACGCUGAGGCACGAAAGUGUGGGGAUCAAACAGGAUUAGAUACCCUGGUAGUCCACACUGUAAACGAUGAUAACUCGCUGUCGGCGAUAUACAGUCGGUGGCCAAGCGAAAGCGAUAAGUUAUCCACCUGGGGAGUACGACCGCAAGGUUGAAACUCAAAGGAAUUGACGGGG